UCCCUGGGACAGUUCAGUCAGUAGAGCAUGAGACCCUUAAUCUCAGGGUUGUGGGUUCAAGCCCCAUGCUGGGUGAA